rnacentral:rRNA from 1 species
AGCGAACGCUGGCGGCAGGCCUAACACAUGCAAGUCGAACGAAGUCUUCGGACUUAGUGGCGGACGGGUGAGUAACACGUGGGAACGCGCCUUUAGGUUCGGAAUAACUCAGGGAAACUUGUGCUAAUACCGAAUGUGCCCUUCGGGGGAAAGAUUUAUCGCCUUUAGAGCGGCCCGCGUCUGAUUAGCUAGUUGGGGAGGUAAAGGCUCACCAAGGCUACAAUCAGUAGCUGGUCUGAGAGGAUGACCAGCCACAUUGGGACUGAGACACGGCCCAAACUCCUACGGGAGGCAGCAGUGGGGAAUCUUGCGCAAUGGGCGAAAGCCUGACGCAGCCAUGCCGCGUGGAUGAUGAAGGUCUUAGGAUUGUAAAAUCCUUUCACCGGUGAAGAUAAUGACUGUAGCCGGAGAAGAAGCCCCGGCUAACUUCGUGCCAGCCGCCGCAGUAAUAC